CACAUGCACACAACACAGCUGAUAGGAUACACUAUCCAGUUCUGCAAAGGAGAAGUUAAUAAUCGAACUUAGCUCUUCCAAACUUGCGACUGACUUGUUGGCAUGCCGACCGGAUGGCUCAGUUUUGGGAUAAUGUCAACGCCUUCAGCAGAUGCUAUUGCAUUACAUAAAGAGAUAUGCCAUGCUGGAGAGCUUCCACUCACUCCUAAUGUGUGCAUUCUGGCCACGGGCAACAACUUCACAUCCAGUCCUAUCACUGACACGGUAAUCUGGGAGCGAUCCCAAAGCUGUUUUGCAUCACUUGUCACAGGUCUGAUAUCCCAGUGGAGGCACAGCAGGUUGUGUAACGGCAGAGAGGAACAGGGUGGAGCGGCUAUUUUUACCUGAAGCCCAGGAGUCAGCGCAACACAGAAGGUGUGUCUGCACAAGUGUGCGUGCCUGGCAUGGUGAGGGUGCAGUCCAUCAGCAAACCAACGAGGGAGAACUGACGCAAGUGCAUGAGAAAAGGCGGUGAAGUGAUUCCUCUGACACAGAUCUGAGAUGAGUUUUGCAGCCAUAACCAGGCAGCACUGUAGGAGCUAAUUCAAAGUUAUUGACAAAUGCCUGGACUGUAUCUUGUGUAGCAUCUUUGUAUAUAUUGCUCACUUUCUGUAUUUUACAGUUAUUUGAAAAGUUAUUUUGAUAUGAAAACUAUCACUUCUUGAACCGAAGUUCAAAAUAUUGGGGUUGUUCGUACUUUGGAGCUACAUCAAACAUCACCCUCUCAUAAGUGUUUGGGCUCGGACACUCUCAGAAAGUGGCACAGUAAAAUUCAUUAAUGCAUCCUCAUGAAAUAUGGUGCUGGAAGAUUGGUGAUGUAGUGACUUCUUGAGGUUUGUGAAGUAUUUGUGAAUGUUGGUGGCAAAAUGAAUAUUUAGAA